rfam:Pseudomonas pseudoalcaligenes KF707 = NBRC 110670 strain KF707 ctg1567, whole genome shotgun sequence.
CUUUAUGGCAGAUCGCGUAGGGAGAUCCUUGCGAUCUGCCGGCUCCUUUGCCCGGUCUGUCAACCCUGCGCGGUCUGCCACCCUU